GCCUCUAUGCGUGGCCUCCAGAAUUUUCAGGGUGUGGUUUAAGGACAUGGAAGCUUCUGCUUGUGUUCUACCACUCAUAAGUUUCACUGUGCAAGGUGUUAGUGCAAUUUCCCCCGCAAGGUAUGAGACUUCUCCAAUGUAAACAGAAGAAGGAAAUUAAGGUUUUCCUGGAGUUCAACUAAAUCUAGAAAGAAGAGAGAUGUCAACAAAUUUGUCAUUAUCAAAUGAAAUGCUGUUAAUAGUAGUUGCCUAAAAUGACAAUAAAAGUUAAAACACCCUAUGCUUAAGUAAGGAUUUCUUACUUGUCCUGCAUGAGAAGUCUUUCCUCAGCUCUGGAACCUCCUCACUCAUGAUCUCGAUAUUCGAGGGGCUGGGAAAAAGAGUGAGGAAAUCCUGUUUUUGACAGCACUUCAUUCAGCCUCCUCAUACAUCAGAAUUCAGAGGUGGUGUGCUGUAUCUGCUGUCCGGGCUGUAGGAAAAUAUACUGCUGUCACAGGAUACUCCGCUUAGAAACUACUGAUGGUUCCUUCAAAGUCUAAUUUGUGAGUGGAGCACAAAUCCUGGCCUGCCAGCUUGCAUUACUGGAAUUCACUUUCUCACCACCAAGUAACUUCUACCGAGUCACAAAAUAAAUCUGGAUUUCUCAACUUACUGAAAAUGAAUCUCUUUAG